rnacentral:rRNA from 1 species
GCCUGUAUAGUAUCACUACUGAUGAGCAGCGCGACCCUCUGUCUGUACCCUUGUCUUUUGCGUACUCAUGUUUCCUCGGCGGGUUUACACCCGCCGGCUGGACAACUCUAUAACCUUUUUAAUUUUCAAUCAGCGUCUGAAAAACCUAAUAAUUACAACUUUCAACAACGGAUCUCUUGGUUCUGGCAUCGAUGAAGAACGCAGCGAAAUGCGAUAAGUAGUGUGAAUUGCAGAAUUCAGUGAAUCAUCGAAUCUUUGAACGCACAUUGCGCCCCUUGGUAUUCCAUGGGGCAUGCCUGUUCGAGCGUCAUUUGUACCCUCAAGCUCUGCUUGGUGUUGGGUGUUUGUCCACUCCCUGGUGUUUGGACUCGCCUUAAAGCAAUUGGCAGCCAGUGUUUUGGUAUUGAAGCGCAGCACAUUUUGCGAUUCUAGCCUGAAAUACUAGCAUCCAGCAAGUCAUUUUCCACUUUUGACCUCGGAUCAGGUAGGGAUACCCGCUGAACUUAAGCAUAUCAAUAA